rnacentral:rRNA from 1 species
UACAGAGGGGGCAAGCGUUAUUCGGAAUUACUGGGCGUAAAGGGCGCGUAGGCGGCCUGUUAAGUCAGACGUGAAAUCCCUCGGCUCAACCGGGGAACUGCGUCUGAUACUGGCGGGCUUGAAUUCGGGAGAGGGAUGUGGAAUUCCAGGUGUAGCGGUGAAAUGCGUAGAUAUCUGGAGGAACACCGGUGGCGAAGGCGGCAUCCUGGACCGACAUUGACGCUGAGGCGCGAAAGCCAGGGGAGCAAACGGG